rnacentral:rRNA from 1 species
GAUGAACGCUGGCGGCGUGCCUCAAACAUGCAAGUCGAGCGAGGCUAUGAGUUACCGCAAGGUAAGGCAUAGCCUAGCGGCGAACGGGUGAGUAACACGUGGGUAACCUACCUGGAAGACAGGGAUAACGAUUCGAAAGGGUCGCUAAUACCUGAUAAUAUCCAUCUGCCGGAUGGCGGAGGGAAGAAAGGGGAAACCCGCUUUCAGAUGGGCCCGCGUCCCAUCAGCUAGUUGGUAAGGUAAAGGCUUACCAAGGCGACGACGGGUAGCCGGUCUGAGAGGAUGUACGGCCACACUGGGACUGAGAUACGGCCCAGACUCCUACGGGAGGCAGCAGUUGGGAAUCUUAGGCAAUGGACGAAAGUCUGACCUAGCGACGCCGCGUGAGGGAAGAAGGCCUUCGGGUUGUAAACCUCUGUCAUGGGGGAAGAAGGAAGUGACGGUACCCCAAGAGGAAGCCCCUGCUAACUACGUG